GAUGAACGCUGGCGGCGUGCCUAAUACAUGCAAGUCGAGCGAACAGACGAGGAGCUUGCUCCUCUGACGUUAGCGGCGGACGGGUGAGUAACACGUGGAUAACCUACCUAUAAGACUGGGAUAACUUCGGGAAACCGGAGCUAAUACCGGAUAAUAUAUUGAACCGCAUGGUUCAAUAGUGAAAGACGGUUUUGCUGUCACUUAUAGAUGGAUCCGCGCCGCAUUAGCUAGUUGGUAAGGUAACGGCUUACCAAGGCAACGAUGCGUAGCCGACCUGAGAGGGUGAUCGGCCACACUGGACCUGAGACACGGUCCAGACUCCUACGGGAGGCAGCAGUAGGGAAUCUUCCGCAAAGGGCGAAAGCCUGACGGAGCAACGCCGCGUGAGUGAUGAAGGUCUUCGGAUCGUAAAACUCUGUUAUUAGGGAAGAACAAAUGUGUAAGUAACUAUGCACGUCUUGACGGUACCUAAUCAGAAAGCCACGGCUAACUACGUG
rnacentral:rRNA from 1 species